rnacentral:rRNA from 1 species
UAACGACUCUCGGCAACGGAUAUCUCGGCUCUCGCAUCGAUGAAGAANGUAGCGAAAUGCGAUACUUGGUGUGAAUUGCAGAAUCCCGUGAACCAUCGAGUCUUUGAACGCAAGUUGCGCCCGAAGCCAUUAGGCCGAGGGCACAUCUGCC